AGCAGUGUUAAGGCCAUCACAUAUAAAAUUCCGUAAGAACGUAAGACGUAAACUUAAGAUGUAAAACGUAAAGUCCAUGACACACAGUUAGCGUAAAACAUAAAAGUCAGCCAAUGGAAAAUGCAGAAAGAUUCCUUUGCAUUUCGUAAAGUUUAACCUGAAAUGUCAACGUUAGUACCAUUCCACCAAACAGUCAUUUAUUGAAGGAAUUUGUUGAACACUGGCAAAUGACAGAAGAGGAUAUAUUAUUUACAGGACUAUUGAUUGCGACUAUGGGUUUGAUAGCAUUACGGAGGAAAAAAUCUGGAAAGUGGUUGAAUCGUCAAUGGUAGAUCCGACCUAUUAAUCGUAGGCAUCCUGAUGGGAGAUUACUGAUGGGAGACCUACUUCAAGAAAUAAAAGAUGACUCACAAAUGUUCUUCCGAUAUACAAGGAUAACACUUCCAAUUUUUAAUAAGUUAUUAGAAAAAAUGAGACUGUUCUUAACUAAGAAGAGUCAGAGCUUUGACAGUGGAAGAACGUUUUACUAUAACACUUAGAUAUCUUGCAACGGGAGAUCAAGUAUUAUCAAUCGCUUUUGCUUACCGCAUAGGGGAGUCAACAG